UCACUUAAUAAAAUUUUCUUGUUUUAAUUUUUAAUUCACUUUCCCUCAUGUUACCAACUGCCCCACUGGCCACUCUCUCUUCUCGUUACUCAUUACGCCAAUCUCCUCUCCUCUCCUCGGCGGCGCAACAUCCACCCAAUCCAGCAAACCCGACGGCGAUUGAGACUCAGUCCGGCGACACCCACGCCGGCGACAACGACGACGAAUAGCCAACGACCAUCUACGAACAGCGUUUUGUAAGUCUUGGGGCAGUUUUCAUCAGCUUCAAAAAAAGCAGACUUAGCAGUUUCAUCACCAACAAGAAUACACCUCCUCCUCUGUUGACUCACACACAUUGGACUUUGACAUGGUCGAUGUAUGGGCGAUGAGAAAGGGGUUGUUCUGAAGCAUAUGUACUCCUUGUACAUCUUGGUUGUAAAAAAUGAUUGGAACGGUAGGCAUUUUAGAGUACGAGAUAUGUACUCUGUGCCUUGCCUCUCUGACCAAGGCCUUCCGUUUAUGGAACUGUGCUUCGAGAGAAAUUUUGUGGAAUCUUUGGCUUGAAAAAGAUCUCAUUUGAAGAUUAUAGAGGACAGUGAUGUUCGCAUGGGAGAUGAUGGAAUUCAAGAGCUUACAGAGAUGGUGGAGCAGGUGUUUCCUCCGCCUCAAACUCAACCAAAGUAAGGCAAAGAGGCCGAAGGCAUGGAGGAACAGGAAGUCGGAGAGCCUGCCGAUGGAGAACCAAUGGAAGAAACUACUUGAACCCAGUUCGAAAAUUAGAUGAUAUAUCGGUACAUAACAAUUCUCAGCGUUCAGAAGAGCUUUCACAAAGGACUUGGUUCUGUUCUGCAUCCUUCAAGCAUUAAGUACUCAUAAUGUGCAGAUAUGGGUUUUGAGAUGCAAGAUGAAACUGAGAGUGACAGUUCCCAAAAAAAAUAAAAUGGGAAAUCAAAGUCAAAGAGAGCUUUUGGGUGUUAAAGUUAAACAAUGGAAAUAGCUAGGCUUCUUUCUAAAUGUAAUCUAAUAUUUUUAGGUAGGGAAGAAA